UGAUCCAGCAAUGCCGCGUGGGUGAUGAAGGCCUGCGGGUUGUAAAGCCCUUUUGGCGGGGAAGAACAGCGGGGCGCGAAUACCGCGCGGCUCUGACGUUACCCGCACAAUAAGCACCGGCUAACUCCGUGCCACCAGCCUCGGUAAUACUGACGGUGCGAGCGUUAAUCGGAAUUACUGGGCGUAAAGCGUGCGUAAGCGGUUCGGUCAAUCAGCCGUGAAACCCCCGGGCUCAACCUGGGAACGGCGGUUGAAACGGCCGGACUAUAGUGGGCUAGAGGAUCAUGGAAUUCCCGGUGUAACGAUGAAAUGCGUAGAGAUCGGGAGGAACACCGAUGGCUGAACGCUGCGGUCUGGGGCCACACUGACGCUAAGGCACGAAAGCGUGGGGAGCACACAGGAUUAGAUACCCUGGUAUUCCACCCGGUAAACGAUGAGCACUAUACGUCUGGUGGGUGACCGUCCGGUGUCGCAGCUAACGCGCUAAGUGCUCCGCCUGGGGA
rnacentral:rRNA from 1 species